GAUAACCUAUUAUUAAAAAUGUAAAUUUUUUUACUUAAUUAGUAUUAGUUAUGUUCUUGAAAAUUAAAAAAUUUGGCGGUAUUUUAGUCUUUUCAGAGGAACCUGUUCUAUAAUCGAUAGUCCACGAUUAGAUGCACUUUAUUUAUUAGUUUAUAUAUCGUCGUAGUUUAAAUAUUUUAAUAGAAUUAUAAAUAUUUAAAAUUUUUUAUUAAAAAAUAAAUCAGAUCAAGGUGUAGUUUAUAAUAAAGAAGAAAUGGGUUACAAUAAAUUUAUUUUAAAAUAAUUUUUGUUAAAAAAAUUUGAAUUUGGAUUUGAGAGUAAUUUUUUAGAUUUUUUUAAGAUGAUUAAAGCUCUAAAAUAUGUACAUAUCGCCCGUCGCUUUCAUUUUAAAAUGAAAUAA
rnacentral:rRNA from 1 species